rnacentral:tRNA from 1 species
UCCAGGGUGCCUAGUGGACAUGGCAUCUGCCCGGUAAGCUGGAACACUGUGGGUUCGAUUCCCAUCCCUGGAU